rnacentral:rRNA from 1 species
CUACAUGAAGCUGGAAUCGCUAGUAAUCGCGGAUCAGAAUGCCGCGGUGAAUACGUUCCCGGGUCUUGUACACACCGCCCGUCACACCAUGGGAGUCAGUAACGCCCGAAGUCAGUGACCCAACCGGAAGGAGGGAGCUGCCGAAGGCGGGACGGAUAACUGGGGUGAAGUCGUAACAAGGUACC